AUCAAGCUGCUUGGUUCGUUAGGAUAAUGUUAGUGUCCCAGGACUAUAAUUUCUUAAAUUCGGGAGCUGUCUCUGUUGCAACCGUGGUUGCAAUAUAUGGCACCCACCUUAACACAAAGGUCUGAGAGGAUCUUUAUUCCGACGGCCAAAGCGGUGUAUCU
rnacentral:other from 1 species